AUAAACAGGGAUCCUGGUGCCUAUAUAUAUAUAUGAAUAUGAGACACCAAUAUAUAUGGUGUACAUUUCAUUUCAUUUCAAAUGAAACACCAAUAUCUAUCU